AGCUACAUCCGUCACCUGACACGGCCCUACCAGGAACAGCCGCGCUCCCGCGGAUUCUGGUGCUGCUCGCGUCCCCGCUCCCCUAUUCCCCUUAUUUUAUUCCUGGCUCCCCUCGUCGAAAGUCUUCCAUUCUUCAAACUAGAUUAUUUAAAAAUGAAAAAGGAAGAAAGGAAAGCGAGGUCAUCUCAUUGCUCUAUCCGCCAAUCAGGAGGCUGAAUGUCAGUUUUGAACUAAAAGCCGCUCCGCUCCUCUUCUAGAUUUGGAAAACAAGCGAAAUUAAACUAAACCGCUGCACGCCUCUGACGCGACAUCUGGACACGGCGCGGCGCUGGCGCUGCCGGAGCUGUCGACCCGGCCUGGCGCCGGACUAGUGUCCCUUUUGAUGAGAAGAAUAAGCCUCAUUCUGAUUCAACAGCAGAGAUCAAAGAAAAGACUUCUGUUUUCUGGCCACCAGAUAUAUGUUAUCUGUGCUUAAAGAAUUGAAAAACACACAUCAAAGGAGAAUUUUCUUGGAAAGAGAGGGUUCAAGCAUCACUGUUAGGUGUGCUGGAAUCCUUUCCCGAGUCAGUACUGCUUUCUAGAAGAAAACCGGGGAGAUCUAUUUGGAAUGUAUCUAACUCCAAAGAAACCAUCAGAGGUAACAGUAGAGACGGGGUUUCACCAUGUUGGCCAGACUGGUCUUGAACUCUCGACCUCGUGAUUCGCCCGCCUCGGCCUCCCAAAGUGCUGGGAUUACAGGUGUGAGACACCACACCCGGCGGAUAGAGAGAAUUUUGACAGGUGGAGAACUUCAGUAGAGGAAGUGGCAGGAAUUUGGGAAUGAGGAGCACAGUGAUUAAACUGGGGCCAUUCAUAUGAGAGUUUAAGAACUCAGACCAGUGACUUAGAUUGGCUUCUCUCACAUGGCAAGAAACAUUGCUGCUAGCACUUCCCGAGUUCUACGUUCUACAACAUCCACCACUGGAUCUUAACAUAGACGUAAGAUCAAAUGCAAUAGCAUGUCAAACAAUGUGUAACUCCAGUUAUACAAACAUUACUGUAUCUCAUUGGGGAUACGAAGCUCUACACACUUGAAGAUGGUGAAGGAAUAUAAAAAUCUAUGUCUCACAGUCCAGACUUGGAGUACAAGUAAUAAGAAGAAUAAAACUUAAUCCCUUAAGUAGAUUCACCAUAAGUUAGCUCAGAGCAAUUCCAGUGCAAGUAUGGUCUGUGAUCCAGUAGUAUCUUACAGACAGCAAGUUGAACAUUGUGGGAUGCAUGAGCUAUUGAGGCCUUUGCAGCUUUCUGCUACAUGGAGGCUAGGGCCAGAGUCAAGAUUUAUGCUUUGCAGCACACUGGUCAGCUGUUUUUGCAAAUCAGAUUAAAUGAUUUUUAAAUGAGGCUGAGAGCAUGGGAGAUACUAAUGUGUGUUUCCUUGUGAGCUACUGCAUAAGUUAGGAAAUUGAAAUACAGAAAGAUGAAAAGUGAUUUGCCCAAGCAUAUAGAUCAAAGCUGUGGCAGAACCAGGACUGGAACCUAUAUCUCUCUACUAAUGGUUUUUUUAAAAAAAUAACCUUGUUUCAAAAAUAUUAAAAAGUCACAAGAAAGGUAAACAUGUGGAUAAACAAAAUGAAGAAAAUAAAAAUUAUCCAGUAAUAACAUA
rnacentral:lncRNA from 1 species